UGCCAGCAGCCGCGGUAAUACGAAGGGACCUAGCGUAGUUCGGAGUUACUGGGCUUAAAGAGUUCGUAGGUGGUUGAAAAAGUUAGUGGUGAAAUCCCAGAGCUUAACUCUGGAACUGCCAUUAAAACUUUUCAGCUAGAGUAUGAUAGAGGAAAGCAGAAUUUCUAGUGUAGAGGUGAAAUUCGUAGAUAUUCGGAGGAACACCAAUUGCGAAGGCAGCUUUCUGGAUCAUUACUGACACUGAGGAACGAAAGCAUGGGUAGCGAAGCCGAUUAGAUA
rnacentral:rRNA from 1 species